UUGUGUUCCUCCCAUCAGGCUGUCACUGUAGUGAGCUGACAAGUACCUCCAUCCAUCACCCCAUCUCAUGUUUUAUGGAUUGCUAGGGAGAGGAGCAGAGCAUCCCAGAGCAGGAAUCAUCACUAGUUCAGGAAACAGAGAAGGAGGAGAAGGGGAGGGAAGAAGGGAGUUACCUGGGUAUUUUUUAAAACCCUUAUCUUGCAUCUCGGAAUCUAUACUGUGUAUUGGUUCCAAGGAGGGUUAGGCAAUAGGGGAUAAGUGACUUGCUCAGGGUCACACAGCUAGGACAUGUCUGAGGACACCUGGGUAUUUUAAUGUAACAAAUUAAUUAAAAUGUAUGGGAGGAAAAAAGGCUUGAGGUAGCAGAGAUCGUAGAGUAAUAGAAUCUCAAAAGGGACUUUCUAUGUUAUCUAGUCCAAGUCAUACCUGAACAAGAAUCCCCAACAUUAACCAACUUUAGAAGAUAAGGCAUUUUUGUUUGUCAUUGUUAAAAAAUAUAUAGAACAAAGUAGCCUUUGUGAGAUGAAUAAGGUUACCUGCAGCUGACUGCAGUGCUCAGAAUACUGCACACGUCCCUUCUUUAUACCUUUCUCCAUUCACACCUUCCUCCAAAGUUCAGUAACUGAUAUGUGUACUCUAUAACGUAGCCCCUUUUCUCCUUGCCCAAUAUCAAAUAUCUCCCUGCCUACAGCAUCUGAGAUGAGGAACCAAUCAACCUGAGAACCCUACCUGCCUAUAAAACUCAUGGCUCUGGGUUGUCUUAGAGGCUGCUCUGUGCUUAAGGAGAUUCUGUGGUACAAUUGGGAGAACCACAGAAACAGCAAUAAUGUACAGUGAUCCAUUGUGAAUAACUUCACUAUUAUCAGCAAUGCAAGGAUCUAAGACAACAAGAGACUCAUGAUGAAAAAGGAGGAAUUGAUGGAGUCUGAAUGCUGAUUAAAGCAAACCAUUUUUCACUUUAUCUCCUGGAUGAGUUUUUUUCUUUUUUAUUCAAUAUGUGUCUUCUUCACAACAUGAAAUACAUGGAAAUACA
rnacentral:lncRNA from 1 species